AGAGUUUGAUCAUGGCUCAGAUUGAACGCUGGCGGCAUGCCUUACACAUGCAAGUCGAACGGUAACAGGGAGCUUGCUCUGCUGACGAGUGGCGAACGGGUGAGUAAUAUAUCGGAACGUGCCCUGGAGUGGGGGAUAACUAGUCGAAAGAUUAGCUAAUACCGCAUACGAUCUCAGGAUGAAAGUGGGGGAUUCGCAAGGACCUCAUGCUCGUGGAGCGGCCGAUAUCUGAUUAGCUAGUUGGUAGGGUAAAAGCCUACCAAGGCAUCGAUCAGUAGCUGGUCUGAGAGGACGACCAGCCACACUGGGACUGAGACACGGCCCAGACUCCUACGGGAGGCAGCAGUGGGGAAUUUUGGACAAUGGGCGCAAGCCUGAUCCAGCAAUGCCGCGUGAGUGAAGAAGGCCUUCGGGUUGUAAAGCUCUUUUGUCAGGGAAGAAACGGUUUGGCUUAAUACGCUGAGCUAAUGACGGUACCUGAAGAAUAAGCACCGGCUAACUACGUGCCAGCAGCCGCGGUAAUACGUAGGGUGCAAGCGUUAAUCGGAAUUACUGGGCGUAAAGCGUGCGCAGGCGGUUAUGUAAGACAGAUGUGAAAUGCCCGGGCUUAACCUGGGAACUGCAUUUGUGACUGCAUGGCUAGAGUGUGUCAGAGGGGGGUAGAAUUCCACGUGUAGCAGUGAAAUGCGUAGAUAUGUGGAGGAAUACCGAUGGCGAAGGCAGCCCCCUGGGAUAACACUGACGCUCAUGCACGAAAGCGUGGGGAGCAAACAGGAUUAGAUACCCUGGUAGUCCACGCCCUAAACGAUGUCUACUAGUUGUCGGGUCUUAAUUGACUUGGUAACGCAGCUAACGCGUGAAGUAGACCGCCUGGGGAGUACGGUCGCAAGAUUAAAACUCAAAGGAAUUGACGGGGACCCGCACAAGCGGUGGAUGAUGUGGAUUAAUUCGAUGCAACGCGAAAAACCUUACCUACCCUUGACAUGUCAGAGAGCUCGAAGAGAUUUGAGUGUGCUCGAAAGAGAAUCUGAACACAGGUGCUGCAUGGCUGCCGUCAGCUCGUGUCGUGAGAUGUUGGGUUAAGUCCCGCAACGAGCGCAACCCUUGUCAUUAGUUGCUACGAAAGGGCACUCUAAUGAGACUGCCGGUGACAAACCGGAGGAAGGUGGGGAUGACGUCAAGUCCUCAUGGCCCUUAUGGGUAGGGCUUCACACGUCAUACAAUGGUACAUACAGAGGGCUGCCAACCCGCGAGGGGGAGCUAAUCCCAGAAAGUGUAUCGUAGUCCGGAUUGGAGUCCGCAACUCGACUCCAUGAAGUUGGAAUCGCUAGUAAUCGCGGAUCAGCAUGUCGCGGUGAAUACGUUCCCGGGUCUUGUACACACCGCCCGUCACACCAUGGGAGCGGGUUUUACCAGAAGUAGGUAGCCUAACCGCAAGGAGGGCGCUUACCACGGUAGGAUUCGUGACUGGGGUGAAGUCGUAACAAGGUA
rnacentral:rRNA from 1 species